GCCAACAUGGCAGCCAGCUUUAGCGCUGCGUUUUUUUUCUUCUUUCGUCGUUUUACCGAUUUUACCUUCCGUGACUUCGACGGACACCGUCGGACGUGUAAGCGUAUGCACCCGUCUCGGGUGUUUGUGCGACCCACGACGCCCGGCACAACUUGGGAGCUUCCAAAAUCUGCACGAGCCGCCGCAGAGCUGUAAUGCCGCUAGAAACGUGGCUCGUGUGCUAAGGGGCCGCUGCAAAGGAUUGCCUGCCUCAUGCAGCGCACCGCGUGUACGACAGGGACGAGUCUCGGCUGAGCUGCGGCUAUUGUGAUCAUCGUCCCAAGUUACCGCGGCACAAUCGACGCUAUUACUCGUCAGAGACGUUUUCGGCGUGCUGUUCGGGCCGUUUCAACCGAUCUACAGACUAGCGUCGGGUGAGGGACGACUACGGUGACCAUUGCUCCGAGUGCCCAGGGCAGAAUCUGUGACCAUGGGCACCCAACCUCAAGCUUGCCGCGAGAUGCCAGCGGCCCUCCUUCCCCUAGCGGAGACCGGCGGCGCCAUCAGAGCGGACAGCCGUCCGCAGAAUCAAGAAUUUCGCCUAAGUCGUGCUCACGUGGCGGGUCUCUGAAGUCUACGAUUCUGUGCUUUGGCGUGCGGUAAUCAGAAUACGCAGGUGUCACUUUACACUACGGGGUCUCGCCUGCUUUGGUCCCCGGCAUCCGAGGUGCAACUGGCGACCGCGCUGGCGCCCGUGUGCGAGCCGGGCAGCGCCACCACGCUCGGC